AAUUCCCCCCAUUUUAACCCUAAACCCUCUCUUUCUUCACCAAAAUUCGCCCCUCUCAGUCCCAAAAUUCCCCUCUUUCUCUCCUUCCACUACCGUAUACCAAGAUGGUUCGGUAUCCCCUAGAAGUUCUUGCCAUUUUUGAUACUGUGCUCAUGGAUAUGGUUAGUAGAAUCAACCCCUUGUUUGAGAAGCAUAUACAGGCGAGGAUUUUUAAUCUCAAAACCUCUACUUCCAUGAGGACUCUCAACCCAUCUGAUAUUGAGAAGAUAGUAUCAUUGAAGGGAGUCAUUAGAUGCAGUUCCAAGGGAAGCAGUUUUCAGGUGUCUAGUUUGUGGCCAUUUCUCAGAUCCAAUUGUCGUAGAUAAAGGCUGAUGCACUUCGUUAGAGAUUCGAUGCGAACAAAGAACGUGGGAUUACAGGGUAACAUGAAUGCAACUGAAAAUAUAGGCACUUCAACAGAUGUCGAAUGUGUUGGUAAGUUGAUUUUUUUUUCAUUUUUUUCCUUCAGCUGAGAGGAUCUUCUGAAUUUUACUGUGUGUUGGUGUGCGUGCUUCUGUGACAAUUUGUUAGCUCCCAACCCUGGAAAACUUGGGCGAUCGUGUUGCUGCUUUUGAAAACUUGGCAAUUUUAUUAGAUGAUCUAUGGGAGUUUUAUGGUCUAUGACUAAGUGUUGUUAAUUAACUGGUCGAUGACUUAGUGGCGACUUUUGGCACCUUUGGCGAUGACAAAGUCGCCGCUAAAACUCCGUUUACCUGUGGUGAUGGAUAAUGGGAUUGUUUAUGAAGAUAGACAUCAUCUCAGGAUAAAUUACCAUAUUAUUGUGCUACUUACUUGAAUCAUAACUUGCAAUCACUUGGAAUGGACGAUUUAAUGAUUUAAAGAAUGUAUUAGAAUUGAUGUUUUUCAUUGAUCGUUAUUGAAACUGUCACUUAAUGGAAGAUUGUAAACGUAUUUGUAAACGUACCUGUGAAAGACGAACACGCUACCGCACCACCCCGCCACACCACACCACGCCAUCUCUAUACGCUUCAAUCUGCGACGCGACUCCGAAACCGGUACGUACAUUCCGAAAUCCUUUGUAAUUUCAGUGGAUUUGUUGGUAACUUUAGUAGAUCUGUGUCGUUUGACCUUUUGAGGUUUUGAUAUCGUGAUGUUUGACUUUUUUUUAGUCAAAGACAAGUGUUGUUAGGGUUACGGGUCUGGGUAUGAGUACACGUUGGUUUCUUUUUUUCAGAUUGUGCCGAUAGAACACCAGGGCUGCAGGGUUGCUUAUGCAAAUAUGAAGUAGUGUGUAGCUUCACAUCCAGACACACAAACGUUGUUCUUUAAUGGUGGGUUGAUGAAGUUAAUUUCAGAUGCAUCAUGGGUACUUAUACAAGAAUUUAUGGAUAAACAUGCAAUAGAUUAUGUGGCUCUCUAUUCUCUUUCGUAGGCUCAUAUUCAGUUUGUUCUAAAACUCGGAUUUUAGAGAUGAACAAAGUUUUUGAGUUCGAGUUACCCAACUAAGUUUGGAAACAAAGAUGCUGAGUUUGAGUUACCCAAUGAAGAAGCGGAUGAUGGUAGCGGUGAUGACACAUAUGUAGAAUUAUUAUAUUUUAUAUGUCAUGUGAUUUAAUGUCGUGUUUGUGACUUAAAACAAACACGGAAUUACGUUUUUGACAUUUAUGUAGUUUAUGCUUAUGUAGUUUAUAUCUAUUUA